rnacentral:rRNA from 1 species
UACGGAGGGGGCAAACGUUGUUCGGAAUUACUGGGCGUAAAGGGUGCGUAGGCGGUUCGAUUAGUCUAGCGUGAAAUCUCUCGGCUUACCCGGGAAACUGCGCUGGAUACUGUCGAGCUCGAGGAUGGGAGAGGCAGAUGGAAUUCCUGGUGUAGCGGUGGAAUGCGUAGAUAUCAGGAAGAACACUCAUGGCGAAGGCAGUCUGCUGGCCCACACCUGACGCUGAGGCACGAAAGCCAGGGGAGCAAACGGG